GCCUUCCCAAGGUCUGUGUGUGACCUGGCGGCAUCGACUGAAGAUCCAAUUAAUUCUUCCUCCUUGAGGCAUGCUUUGUGCCAAAAGCUGGUGUAACAAACCAAGUGUUUUCAAAAACUUUAAAUAAACUUCUUUGAGAGGCUGGGAAGCCCUCGCAUCUGAUGCUGGUUCAAGUUCCACAUGUCUGGGAGCCAGGACCUCCUUGUCCAUCCUCUGCUGGCCGGAAGCUGACGUCAGGAGUAGAGCACAUGCGGAUGUCGCAAGCAGUGGCCUAACCAGCUGAAAGGAACACUUGUUAUCACAUACACGUAACUUGGCAUCAGUACCUAAACUACAGCAAGACAGUGCUGGGAUCCUCCAGUUGAUUCUGCAACACUAAAUUUAGAUCCAGCCAAGCCUAAUGCCCUGCAGGGGAUGGAUGGGCCCCAAGGCUGCCGCAGCUCACUGCCUGCGCUCUUCCAUGGAUACAUGCAAGACUCAGAAAAGUGCCCAAGGUUACUUAUUUCUGCACCUCCUCACUUGCCCCGUGGCUGCAGCCCCGGUGUGAGAGUGAUGCCUCUUCCGGUGCUAGCUCUCCUGGUCCAAUCCUGAGCGUUGCCCCAGCAGCAGGGCCCCCGCCCCUCCUCGGGCAGCGCGGACGGGCCUGACCCCAGCCAGGCUUCAGCUCUCUCUGAUAAACAGGUUCCUAAACCGCUUCUGGCAUUUCUCACAUGGACACCUCGCUGCGUGCUCAGUCGCCGAUGUGUGGAGCACGCGCCCGUGGGCCCCAGGGCUCCCCCUGCCCUCACAGCAAGCACUGCCAGGAUGCCAGGGACUGCAAUGUGUGGACCUGGGAAUGAGACGCAUCCACUUCAGCUGAGAACUCAAAGGGGCGGCUGCCACCAACUCAAAGAAAUCCACAUUUGGGUUCAACCAUGUUAAUCUUUAUUUCAAGGAUCAACAAUCCCGUUUUACACAAUUCUUCGAUUUGUAGCGGGAGGGAGACUCGUUGCGCCUCCAUCCUCGGCUUGAAUCACGAUACUGCCAGGUUCCUGGCUGAGCUGAAUCCUACGUGGCUCCCCUUCUCUGAGGCUAUGGCAAUGGUGGCAGAGCGAGAGAUCCCAGCCAAGCAGUGCACGAGGACACACCCGUUGGAGGCUUUUGCUUUCUCUGCGCAAGUCAGAAAUUCCAGGUAAGUGACUGACAGCGGCGAACUUAGGGUCUCCAUCUGGAAGCUUCCACACAAACAUUUACUUACGUAAUUAACCCUUGCAGUAUUCUAAUGAGAAUACAAACCAGUGGCGCACAGGACAAGGAAGGCAGGCAAGGAUGAGUAACUUGUUACUGACUCACGCUGCCCACAUCUCCCCUCAGCACUUCUCGCCAAGUGUUAUUUCAGUAAUGUUUCCUGAGUGUGAAUCCUAUAUGGUGGCCACGUGAUUUUUUUUUGAUGUGGAAAAUUUCAGAAAUAGAAGUAUAUGAAGAGUCAUCCGAAAACACAGCUAAUCCACUGACUUUAUGAAAAUUGUAUUCCCAUGACACUUAAAAAUUUUUCCCUUAUUA